rnacentral:misc_RNA from 1 species
GUGAAUCAUCAAAUUUUUGAACGCAAAUUGCACUCCCUGGUAUUCCGGGGAGUAUGCCUGUUUGAGGGUCGUUAGAAUAAAAAAUCGAGGCGUCGCUCUUUUUUUUAAGGGUGAUCGUGUCGGAAUUGAGCCGUCUUUCAAAUGUUAAUUCAUGUUAACUUGGCUUAAAAUUUUUCCACCCGUUACAAUUAAACCUAAUUUAUUUUUAUUUUUGAUCAGUA